AUCUGGUGCUGGGGGCAUUUGUUGCACAAUUUCUUGAACCGCUCCCAAUACUCAUAGAGUGACUCCCCUGGGUGCUGCUUGAUCCCGCAAAUUUCUUUCCUUAGACU